UCGAAUAUAAUUAAACAAUGGCUAAAAUGGUAAAAGAACGGAUAAAACAAUAUUUAUUACAAGUAAAAUCUACAAAAUCAAAAUAAAUUGCUGGAGGUAAUGGUGUAUAAUCAGGUGCUGGAGAGAGCACGGACAGCUUCCUCAGAGUAAGGGUGAAUAAAAGCACUGUUCAUUUGCCAGACUUUGAACGACGCCGUAACAGUCGCAUCAAUGGCAUUGUUGAAUACAAAAAGCUUAGCUGCUCCAUAGAUGGCUUUUGUUGGAUAUACC
rnacentral:lncRNA from 1 species